AACAACUCCGGGAGAAUGACUAAGAGUUGGCCUUCAGGCAGGAAUAAAGCAUCGAGUGCAUUUGAGGCCGCCCACACGCCUACUCCGGACUCCACGAUGCGCCCUUCUCUCCUGCUGCUCCUCCUCGCUGGCGCCGCCCUCCUCGGCCUCCUGCAGGGGACCGACGCUCAUGAGUGCCCUGAGACAUGCGAGGGCGUAGCCUGUCCUGACACGUCCGACUGCAUCCACGGCACCAUCAAGGAACACUGCGGCUGCUGCGACGUCUGCAACAGGAAGGAGAACGAGAAGUGUGGCGGCUUCGAGCACGAAGACGGCGAGUGCAUCCCUCCGCUCGAGUGCAUUUACGGCGUCUGUGGUUAGCGCUCCCGGGCAACCCUGGCAAUGAUGGUCAGACUAAGCAACUGUUGGGACGUUAGUAGAAGAUAUAACUCGAAGUAGAAUUCUAAAAUAUCUUGGAAUUUCUAAAAAUAGCCAUGGUUUUCCUUCGGAUUUCAGGAUAAUGGAAGAGAGAGAGAAGGAAAAAUGGAAAUUGACAUUACAAGAUAACAGAAAAGAGAGAUAGAUUAAAUGGAAAAAAGGAAAAUAUGGAAACCGCGACAUUCCAGGAUAACAGAAAAAAGAGACAGAAAAAAAAUGAAACAGUAACACGUCAUCCCUACGCUCUACUUAACACUAUACGGAAGAACCAAAUCCCAAGGUAAUUCAGAUUCACGCAAUCGAGACAGUCACGCCUCUAGUUUUAAAAACUGUCUCUCCUAACUUCAAGAUUACUGUACACAAAACUACCAGAUAUGUUAAGGAAUCAUAUGCAGUAAUAACUUACGGUCAAAUAUGAUUCCACCAUUACUGCCUACCCCUCAUCCUUUUACAAAUUCUUUGUUUCUUGCCAAGUCACACUGUGUUUUAAGGUGUUUUGUUAACGUACCCCCCCCAAAAAAAAAUAAAAAAAAUAUUCUGAUAAGUAGGGAAUAUUCACGCAACUGCCCUGUUUGGCAUUGCUAAUGUUGUAUGUUACUGAUUUAUAUAACCGGUUUAUAUACUAUAAUUAUAAAAGUUCACUACCA